rnacentral:rRNA from 1 species
GUCCUUUUGAAUUUAAUUGAAGGUCUGACCUGCCCAGUGAUAAUUUUAACGGCCGCGGUAUACUGACCGUGCAAAGGUAGCAUAAUCAUUAGUCUUUUAAUAGAGGGCUGGAAUGAAAGGUUUAACGAGGAACUGACUGUCUCAUUUUAUUUGUUUUAAAAUUUAAUUUUUUAGUUAAAAAGCUAAAAUUUUAUUGGAAGACGAGAAGACCCUAUAGAUCUUUACAUAUUUUUAUUUAAAUAUUUAUAUAUCAAUAUUUUUAUUUUAAAAUGUGUUUUGUUGGGGUGACAAAAAUAUAUAAUUAACUUUUUUAUUUACAUAACAUUGAUUUAUGAUUAUUAGAUCCAAUCUUAUUGAUUAUUAGAUUAAGUUACCUUAGGGAUAACAGCGUAAUCCUCCUCCAGAGUUCAUAUUUACAGGAUGGGCUUGCGACCUCGAUGUUGGAUUAAGAUAAUAAUUAGGUGUAGCCGCUUAAUUUAUAGGUCUGUUCGACCUUUAAAUUCUU